AGCCUGGAAUCUGAAGUAGCGGUCCCCUCCACUCACGCGUUUUUCCAGAGGUGUCACCGCACCUGGACCAGAGCCCGCGAGACUCUGCUCCAGGUGAGGGAGCGCACUAAGGCCAAGGCCGAUCGCCACCGGUCAAAGCCUCCCGUCUACGUCGUGGGUCAAAAAGUGUGGCUUUCUACCAGUAACAUUCCUCUGCGAUCCGUUUCUAAUAAAUUAGCUCCCAAAUUUAUCGGCCCGUUCACUAUCACCAAAAUCAUUAGUCCGGUGACAGUCCACCUCAAAUUACCUCCUGCGUACAAGAGGAUACACCCCGCCUUUCAUGUGUCCAAAAUUAAACCCGUUUCUUAGAGGGGGGGGGGUACUGUCACGGUUGGUAAACCGUGAUCUCGGGGUGUUUACACUUUGUGGUGAAUUCUGUGUGUUCUGUGUCUGCACUGAUUAGUUGUGGGCGUCUCCAUUAAUUGUAUCAGCAACAGCUGCCACUCAUUACUCAUCCACUAUAUAAUGGCUUGUCUCACGUCUUGUGUUUGUGAGAUCGUUGUCUUAUGUUUGAUGUGGUUACCCUGUUCGUUGGCUCUCAGUGUCGUUUGCGUUUGGAUGUCUGUGUUUCCCUAGAACCUCAUCCUCUCUCCGCACAUUCACUCAGCCACGGACACUUACCUUCGGCUCUAUUCCCCGCAGUUCCUGUGCCAUCCUCUCCUGCUGCUUCACGCCGUCAUCAUCCGGAUUACUCACCUUCUCUCCACCAUCAGCUGGAUUCCUCACCUCUUCACCAUCCCCUCGGAGUGUCGCUGUCUCAUCAUCAUUGUUUGUUUAUGUACUCACUUUAUAUCUUCUCAUUAAAUCAGUAAACUUG